rnacentral:rRNA from 1 species
GCGAACGCUGGCGGCGGGCUUAACACAUGCAAGUCGAGCGGAUGUAGCAAUACAUCAGCGGCAGACGGGUGAGUAACACGUGGGAACGUACCUUUUGGUUCGGAACAACACAGGGAAACUUGUGCUAAUACCGGAUAAGCCCUUACGGGGAAAGAUUUAUCGCCGAAAGAUCGGCCCGCGUCUGAUUAGCUAGUUGGUGAGGUAAUGGCUCACCAGGGCGACGAUCAGUAGCUGGUCUGAGAGGAUGAUCAGCCACAUUGGGACUGAGACACGGCCCAAACUCCUACGGGAGGGCAGCAGUGGGGAAUAUUGGACAAUGGGCGCAAGCCUGAUCCAGCCAUGCCGCGUGAGUGAUGAAGGCCCUAGGGUUGUAAAGCUCUUUUGUGCGGGAAGAUAAUGACGGUACCGCAAGAAUAAGCCCCGGCUAACUUCGUGCCAGCAGCCGCGGUAAUACGAAGGGGGCUAGCGUUGCUCGGAAUCACUGGGCGUAAAGGGUGCGUAGGCGGGUCUUUAAGUCAGGGGUGAAAUCCUGGAGCUCAACUCCAGAACUGCCUUUGAUACUGAAGAUCUUGAGUUCGGGAGAGGUGAGUGGAACUGCGAGUGUAGAGGUGAAAUUCGUAGAUAUUCGCAAGAACACCAGUGGCGAAGGCGGCUCACUGGCCCGAUACUGACGCUGAGGCACGAAAGCGUGGGGAGCAAACAGGAUUAGAUACCCUGGUAGUCCGCGCCGUAAACGAUGAAUGCCAGCCGUUAGUGGGUUUACUCACUAGUGGCGCAGCUAACGCUUUAAGCAUUCCGCCUGGGGAGUACGGUCGCAAGAUUAAAACUCAAAGGAAUUGACGGGGGCCCGCACAAGCGGUGGAGCAUGUGGUUUAAUUCGACGCAACGCGCAGAACCUUACCAGCCCUUGACAUGUCCGGGACCGGUCGCAGAGACGUGACCUUCUCUUCGGAGCCCGGAACACAGGUGCUGCAUGGCUGUCGUCAGCUCGUGUCGUGAGAUGUUGGGUUAAGUCCCGCAACGAGCGCAACCCCCGUCCUUAGUUGCUACCAUUUAGUUGAGCACUCUAAGGAGACUGCCGGUGAUAAGCCGCGAGGAAGGUGGGGAUGACGUCAGGUCCUCAUGGCCCUUACGGGCUGGGCUACACGCGUGCUACAAUGGCGGUGACAAUGGGAUGCUAAGGGGCGACCCUUCGCAAAUCUCAAAAAGCCGUCUCAGUUCGGAUUGGGCUCUGCAACUCGAGCCCAUGAAGUUGGAAUCGCUAGUAAUCGUGGAUCAGCACGCCACGGUGAAUACGUUCCCGGGCCUUGUACACACCGCCCGUCACACCAUGGGAGUUGGUUUUACCUGAAGACGGUGCGCUAACCGCAAGGAGGCAGCCGGCCACGGUAGGGUCAGCGACUGGGGUG